ensembl:lncRNA
UUCCUGUCUUUGUGUUUUGCACCAGAUAGGGCUGGUUUGAGUUCUCACGUUUAUUGUUUUCGUUAGUUUAUUCAUGUAUAGCGUCUUCAUUAAAGAAAUAUUAAUAACCACCACGCUGCGUUUUGGUCCUCCUCUCCUUCACCACAAGAGAACCGUGACACUUUGACAAUGAACCAAAACACACCUCCAGGCUGUGUAAGGGCUAUUUGACAAAGAAGGAGAGUGAUGGAGUGCUGCAUUAGAUGAACUGGCCUCCACAGUCACCUAACCUCCCACCCAAUUGAGAUGGUUUAGGAUGAUUUGGACUGCAGAGUGAAGGAAAAGCAGCCAACAAGUGUCCAUCAGGGUUGGCGUCAAUUCAAGAAGAAGAGAUGGCCUGCAAUCCCCAGCAGAGCCAGAGGCUGUGGUUCUUCUCGCGCUCCCUGGACUCAGUCUUUGACUUUGGCAGUCUGACCAUCUCCAGGGCCAACGACAACCACUCCCUCUCCACAGAGAAGACCAGUGUCUCUACAGCCUUGGUCCAGGGGUGUGGCUCGAUGGCCCUGCCUGACUUGGUCACCUCCUACCAGAUGGAGCACACAGAGGGACCAGGGCAGCCAGGGGAGAGGGAAGCAGGCCCACCAGGAGACCUCAAACAGGACAGCAGUCAGAGCCCCCAGGAACAGUGAAGGGGAGCCGGAGGCUGCCUCUUGUCUGUGCUAUUACCACGUGUUCCGGGAGGGCGAGCUGGCGGAGCUGAUCAAGAGCCACGUCGAAGAGCUCCGCGUCCUUUCCUCCUGCUUCGACCAUGCCAACUGCACCUAAUAAGCAGUAUCCAGAGGGCCAGGAUACUGCGUCCCAAAUGGCACCCAAAUGACUGCGUCCCAAAUGGCACUCUAUUCCCAAGACUUCUAUCCUCAGUUCCAAUGCUGCUAUCGUUGGACCACCAAUAACAAUCAAUGAAACAUGUCUGCCAAGGAUCUGCCUCAUUUCAGUUUUCCCCUCCAAACUUUUGCUCUUCUGUUUUUAGCCACAACCCUUGAGACCAUUAGUGGUGGAAUUCAGGCUGUAUUUGUCUUCAAAUGUUCCACAAUAUACAAGGGGAAUCAACCUUGCAGCAACGUUCUGUGAUGUGUUGGUAUCCCUUUCUAUGGACCACCUGUGUAUAAUGGGUCAUGUUCUAAGGAGCCAUGUGCUGUUAUUAAGAAUUCUUAAGGCAAGUGCUAUAUAAUUUCAAUACUGUCUGUGUGAUUUGUGUUAAUAUUUUGUCCAGCUGAACUAAUAAUUUUUUGGUCAAAUGAACAGACACAUCCUAGAUGAUACUGUGAAAUGUUGCAUUGUAUGUAUGUUGCUGCUUGCUGAAUGUCAGUGGUUCGCACAUGAAUAGCUCUUGGGAAAACUUGAAACAUGUCUGUAGUCAGUGAACCAGGGAGGUUGCCUGUCAGUGCAGUGCAACUGUUCUAGACCCACUUCUAUGUUACUGGUAAAGAGAUGGAUAUCACCCUAGCAUACAUAAAAUGUAAGGUUUACUUUUUAAAAGUGAACAUUUUUAAGUAUAAUUUGUUCGUGUAUGAUUUUGUUUACCC